CCUUUCAGAGACACAAUGAUGAUGUCACUGAUUCUACUGCUGGCCACCCUGGGGCUCCUUGUUCAGGAUUCAUCAGGAGAAAUCAUCCUGACUCAGUCUCCUGGAUCUCAGUCUGUUGUUCCAGGACAGACUGUCUCCAUCAGAUGUAAAGCCAGUUCAAGUGUUAGCAAUGACUUGCAGUGGUACCUUCAAAAACCUGGAGAAGCUCCUAAACUCCUGAUUUAUAAUGAUUUGGCUCGUUUCUCUGGAGUUUCUGAUCGUUUUAGUGGAAGUAAGUCUGGGACUGACUUCACUCUGACAAUCACUGGAGUUCAAACUGAAGAUGCAGGAGUUUAUUACUGUCAGCAGGAUGACAGCUUCCCGUUCACGUUCGGUGGAGGAACCAGACUGGAGGUUGGAAGUGAUGUCCGUCCCACCCUGAUGGUGCUCCCCCCCUCCAGUGAGGAGCUACAGCAGGGGAAGGCCACGCUCAUGUGCCUGGCCAACAAGGGCUUCCCCUCAGACUGGAGUCUGGCCUGGAAGGUGGACGGCAGCGGCAGCAUCAGCUGGGAGGAGAGCAGGAGCCCCGGGGUGCUGGAGAAGGACGGCCACUACAGCUGGAGCAGCACCCUGAGGCUCCCUACAGACCAGUGGAGGAAGGUGGGCUCUGUGACCUGUGAGGCCACCCAGGGCUCCCAGACUCCACUCUCAGAGACACUGAGGAGAGACCAGUGUUCCCAGUCCUGACCUGACUCAUUGGGACUCUGAUACUGGUUUCACUCUGCUACUGCUCUCAGUCUGUUCUCUCUCUCUCUCUCUCUCUCUCUCUCUCUCUCUAUGUCUCUCUCUCUCUCUCUCUCUCUCUGUCGCUCUCUCUCUCUCUCUCUGGACAUGUUUCAACAUUAACAUGUUCCUUCUUGUGCUGAUGGUUUUAACAUGUUAAAACAAUAAAGAUUUUAUGAUGUGUAUUAUAAAAGUGA